GCAUUGCGCGCUACCUCUACAAGACUACGAGGCGAACUCACUCACCGCAUAAUAACACAUAGCUGCUUGGCUCAGUUGCUUCGAAACAUCCAAACAAGAAAGUAAGGAAAGUGGUGAUUUACGUUGUUUAUUCCGCUUUCCGCUCCGCCGCCCGCCCGCCCGCGUUUGAAAUAAUAAAACAUCUAAACUAAUAAGAAUAAGAAACAAAAAAAAGUGUUAAUAACGUGUUUACUUUACUGUAAGUGUGCUGCCUGGCGUAUGGCGUAUAUUAAAGCAUGUGUGUUUGUGUACAAAUAAUGUUCUAUGUUCUCAAACCGCUGGCUUAAAGAGUUCUUAGAAGAUUUGUGUUUUUUUUUUUGUUCUGAAUAAGAAGAAGAAGUAAACCUUCAAAUUAAUUGAAUGAAUUAAAUUGUGGGCAAUUUUCCUAUUAAAGAGAGUUUUUCUAGUGAAAGCGAAACAUUUGUGUAGAAGAUACAAGGAAAAAAACAAAAAAAUACUCCAUCAAAAAAUUUCUAAGAAAGAAUAAUUGCUUGAAAAAAUUACUCCAAGAAAAAAAAUCCCCAAUUAUUGUGAUCCGUUUUGACACAUGGAUUAAAAGAGGAAUAACCAAAAAUUACAAAAACAAAAUCAACACAACAACCUGAAAAAAAACAACAACAAAUAAUCCAUCAUUAUUUUGUUUAUACAUUCAACGAAAACUUCAUUUCCCCCCUCAUCCAUUCCCACCCACACACCUAAACAACGGUUGGGUCAUCAGAGGAGCCGAAAAUAUAAUUUCGCCCAACGCUGACGCUACUGCCGCAUAAUUUUCUUCGUUUUUGAUUCUUCUUUGUUUUGGUUUGCUUACCUUUGUUCCUGCCUAACCAACCAUUCAAACAUCGCAACAUCCCCAGCAACUAUCAGUCAAAAGCAUCAAAGAAACAAUCAAGCAAACCAUCAUCAGCAUCAUCAUCAGCAAUAGCAGCAGCAGCAGCCAGGAACAGUUAGUCAGUCUCCAAAAUAUACACAGCCCCCAGAGUCUCAUCAUUGAACAGCAGCUUUGCGCUUCUUCUUCUUGGCUGUUGCGUUUUUUUGGGUUUAGCCGCAUCGCCAUCAGUCCAGCAGCCGAAAGAAACAGAAAAAACCCUCCUCAAAGUGUGAUUGUCCGCGCUGUUGAUAUCUGAUAACAUAUGGUAAGUU
rnacentral:sRNA from 1 species